rnacentral:rRNA from 1 species
CCUACGGGGCGCAGCAGUGGGGAAUAUUGCACAAUGGGGGAAACCCUGAUGCAGCAACGCCGCGGGAAGGACGAAGGUGCCAAGCAUUGUAAACUUCUUUUGUCAAGGGACAAAAUCAGGCUCGAGAGCCUGACCGAGGGUACUUGAAGAAAAAGCAUCGGCUAACUCCGUGCCAGCAGCCGCGGUAAUACGGAGGAUGCGAGCGUUAUCCGGAUUUAUUGGGUUUAAAGGGUGCGUAGGCGGACUGUUAAGUCAGCGGUAAAAGCCCGGGGCUCAACCCCGGCGAGCCGUUGAAACUGGCUGUC